CUAGGACUAAUAAAUCUUCUAUCAAAGCUGCGGUACUUGAUUGGUCUCAGUCUUGGGACCAGUGUCGACCACUUUCUGAAGGUCGUUUAUGAUGGAAACAUUUUUCUUUAUGUAAAACAAAUGUCUGUUAGACUUUCAUCAUCUGUCCCUGCUUCCUGUUGUCAGACCUCAGCUCCUCCUCCAGACCUGAUGACUACGCCAAACCUCGGACCCAGAGCCUGAUCCGCUACGCCCUUUCAGACGGAGAAGCUGAUGAGGACGAGGAGGAGCUGGCGGUUCCUUCUGGAAACCUGCCGUCCUACGCCACCUUGACCCGCAAACCAGGCCGCAGUCAGUUGGUCGGCUUCAGUCGAGUCCAGAGAAGAAUGUAGGACGGAGUCAGUCCUUUGCAGUUCGUGCCAGGAAGAAGGGUCCUCCUCCUCCUCCACCCAAGAGGCUGAGCUCCGUAAGCAGCACCACCAGUGGGGAGCUGAGCGACAGCAGCACCACGUCGUCCUCUGGUGGAGGCGUGGUCACCGACAGUCCCGGGAGCGUGAGGAGCAUCGCAGCUUCUCUGGAGGGCAGCACAGAACUGAAGAAUCCACUAGGACCUAAACUAGACCAGGUCCAGGAUCAGGAGGCUUCAGGGGUGAGGAGGAGGGUUCAGAGUGAGUGUGUUAAUGUGGAGACCAGUAGAAACCCAGAGCUGGACCAAGGAGUCAAGUCAGACUCUGAGGAAGAAGAACCUAAAGGUCCUGGGCUCGAAGCCUCCUCGUCCCCCCAGAACAGCUCCAGUGAGUGCAUCCCCUCGCCGAAGAGGGUAACCUGACCAUCAAACAGAGACCUAAAGCCCCAGGGCCUCCCCGGGCUGAGGCAGUCCUGGAACCUCCAUUGCCAGCCAAGAACGAGGAGGCCCCCGAGUUCAACCUUAAAGAGUCAGACACGGUAAAGCGGCGACACAAACCCAAAGACAAGGAAUCGGUGGUGGAUCCCCCUGCAGGGAGGGGCAUCUAGGUCCGAGUCCAGCAGCAGCAGACCUCAGAGCCAGGACGAUGUCAGGUUGAGGAUUGGUGAAGCUGGUUUGGAGAGGCCUGCCAGCCCGGCUACAGGAUCGCCCAUCAAACCGCCACUCUCCCCAAAACCUGCAGUCGCCCCCAAACCGUCCG
rnacentral:lncRNA from 1 species